rnacentral:rRNA from 1 species
GACGAACGCUGGCGGCGUGCUUAACACAUGCAAGUCGAACGGAAAGGCCCUGCUUUUGUGGGGUGCUCGAGUGGCGAACGGGUGAGUAACACGUGAGUAACCUGCCCUUGACUUUGGGAUAACUUCAGGAAACUGGGGCUAAUACCGGAUAGGAGCUCCUGCUGCAUGGUGGGGGGUGAAAUUUGGCGGCUGGGGAUGGACUCGCGGCUUAUCAGCUUGUUGGUGGGGUAGUGGCUUACCAAGGCUUUGACGGGUAGCCGGCCUGAGAGGGUGACCGGCCACAUUGGGACUGAGAUACGGCCCAGACUCCUACGGGAGGCAGCAGUGGGGAAUAUUGCACAAUGGGCGGAAGCCUGAUGCAGCAACGCCGCGUGCGGGAUGACGGCCUUCGGGUUGUAAACCGCUUUCGCCUGUGACGAAGCGUGAGUGACGGUAAUGGGUAAAGAAGCACCGGCUAACUACGUG